rnacentral:tRNA from 1 species
GCCCGGGUGGCUCAGUCGGUUAAGCGUCCGACUUCGGCUCAGGUCAUGAUCUCACGGUUUGUGAGUUCGAGCCCCACAUCGGGCU